rnacentral:rRNA from 1 species
UACGGGGGGGGCAAGCGUUGUUCGGAAUUACUGGGCGUAAAGGGCUCGUAGGCGGCCAACUAAGUCAGACGUGAAAUCCCGAGGCUCAACCUCGGAACUGCCUUCGAUACUGCGGGUCUCGAGUCCGGGAGAGGUGAGUGGAAUUCCUAGUGUAGAGGUGAAAUUCGUAGAUAUUAGGAAGAACACCAGUGGCGAAGGCGGCUCACUGGCCCGGUACUGACGCUGAGGCGCGAAAGCGUGGGGAGCAAACAGG